UUAAGCGACUAAGCGUACACGGUGGAUGCCCUGGCAGUCAGAGGCGAUGAAGGACGUGCUAAUCUGCGAUAAGCGUCGGUAAGGUGAUAUGAACCGUUAUAACCGGCGAUUUCCGAAUGGGGAAACCCAGUGUGUUUCGACACACUAUCAUUAACUGAAUCCAUAGGUUAAUGAGGCGAACCGGGGGAACUGAAACAUCUAAGUACCCCGAGGAAAAGAAAUCAACCGAGAUUCCCCCAGUAGCGGCGAGCGAACGGGGAGCAGCCCAGAGCCUGAAUCAGUGUGUGUGUUAGUGGAAGCGUCUGGAAAGGCGCGCGAUACAGGGUGACAGCCCCGUACACAAAAAUGCACAUGCUGUGAGCUCGAUGAGUAGGGCGGGACACGUGGUAUCCUGUCUGAAUAUGGGGGGACCAUCCUCCAAGGCUAAAUACUCCUGACUGACCGAUAGUGAACCAGUACCGUGAGGGAAAGGCGAAAAGAACCCCGGCGAGGGGAGUGAAAAAGAACCUGAAACCGUGUACGUACAAGCAGUGGGAGCACAGAGCAAUCUGUGUGACUGCGUACCUUUUGUAUAAUGGGUCAGCGACUUAUAUUCUGUAGCAAGGUUAACCGAAUAGGGGAGCCGAAGGGAAACCGAGUCUUAACUGGGCGUUAAGUUGCAGGGUAUAGACCCGAAACCCGGUGAUCUAGCCAUGGGCAGGUUGAAGGUUGGGUAACACUAACUGGAGGACCGAACCGACUAAUGUUGAAAAAUUAGCGGAUGACUUGUGGCUGGGGGUGAAAGGCCAAUCAAACCGGGAGAUAGCUGGUUCUCCCCGAAAGCUAUUUAGGUAGCGCCUCGUGAAUUCAUCUCCGGGGGUAGAGCACUGUUUCGGCAAGGGGGUCAUCCCGACUUACCAACCCGAUGCAAACUGCGAAUACCGGAGAAUGUUAUCACGGGAGACACACGGCGGGUGCUAACGUCCGUCGUGAAGAGGGAAACAACCCAGACCGCCAGCUAAGGUCCCAAAGUCAUGGUUAAGUGGGAAACGAUGUGGGAAGGCCCAGACAGCCAGGAUGUUGGCUUAGAAGCAGCCAUCAUUUAAAGAAAGCGUAAUAGCUCACUGGUCGAGUCGGCCUGCGCGGAAGAUGUAACGGGGCUAAACCAUGCACCGAAGCUGCGGCAGCGACGCUUAUGCGUUGUUGGGUAGGGGAGCGUUCUGUAAGCCUGUGAAGGUGUACUGUGAGGUAUGCUGGAGGUAUCAGAAGUGCGAAUGCUGACAUAAGUAACGAUAAAGCGGGUGAAAAGCCCGCUCGCCGGAAGACCAAGGGUUCCUGUCCAACGUUAAUCGGGGCAGGGUGAGUCGACCCCUAAGGCGAGGCCGAAAGGCGUAGUCGAUGGGAAACAGGUUAAUAUUCCUGUACUUGGUGUUACUGCGAAGGGGGGACGGAGAAGGCUAUGUUGGCCGGGCGACGGUUGUCCCGGUUUAAGCGUGUAGGCUGGUUUUCCAGGCAAAUCCGGAAAAUCAAGGCUGAGGCGUGAUGACGAGGCACUACGGUGCUGAAGCAACAAAUGCCCUGCUUCCAGGAAAAGCCUCUAAGCAUCAGGUAACAUCAAAUCGUACCCCAAACCGACACAGGUGGUCAGGUAGAGAAUACCAAGGCGCUUGAGAGAACUCGGGUGAAGGAACUAGGCAAAAUGGUGCCGUAACUUCGGGAGAAGGCACGCUGAUAUGUAGGUGAAGCGACUUGCUCGUGGAGCUGAAAUCAGUCGAAGAUACCAGCUGGCUGCAACUGUUUAUUAAAAACACAGCACUGUGCAAACACGAAAGUGGACGUAUACGGUGUGACGCCUGCCCGGUGCCGGAAGGUUAAUUGAUGGGGUCAGCGCAAGCGAAGCUCUUGAUCGAAGCCCCGGUAAACGGCGGCCGUAACUAUAACGGUCCUAAGGUAGCGAAAUUCCUUGUCGGGUAAGUUCCGACCUGCACGAAUGGCGUAAUGAUGGCCAGGCUGUCUCCACCCGAGACUCAGUGAAAUUGAACUCGCUGUGAAGAUGCAGUGUACCCGCGGCAAGACGGAAAGACCCCGUGAACCUUUACUAUAGCUUGACACUGAACAUUGAGCCUUGAUGUGUAGGAUAGGUGGGAGGCUUUGAAGUGUGGACGCCAGUCUGCAUGGAGCCGACCUUGAAAUACCACCCUUUAAUGUUUGAUGUUCUAACGU
rnacentral:rRNA from 1 species